rfam:Brassica oleracea var. oleracea cultivar TO1000 chromosome C1, whole genome shotgun sequence
GGGGGUCAGGUGAUGAAUAAUAAUGCAUAGUUCAGAUGAAAAUAAUCUCCAUGAUUACAUUUUGUAGCAUAGUCUUUCGCUCCUAUCUGAUGACCCCC